rnacentral:tRNA from 2 species
GGGCCCUUAGCUCAGGUGGUAGAGCACUGUGCUGAUAACGCAGGGGCCAGUGGUUCGAGUCCACUAGGGCCCA